CUGAUGUGACACAGUAUAUGGGUCUCCUUCCUCUACCCAGUGUGUGGUGAAAAGCUGUUUAUUCAAACACCACACAUCUCGAUCUUUAUCACACAGGCCCUCAAAGGAGCUGGAAUUCUCAAGAGACCUUGUCAUGAUGCCUCUUCCCAAAAUCAGGGCUGAUCGGGUAGAGAUGUGGGUGGUGGAGGUGCCUGGGAAAAGGAACCAUAGAUGGGUUGGCUGCCCAGGAAAAUGGACAGAAAGGGCUCAGAGAAUGAGAGUGGCCUGACUGCCUGCAGGGACCACACUGGCUGGAAUUCUGCAAGGCUCUCUGUGAAGUUGUUUCCAAUAGUAGUGUCCAGGCCUGGGUGGAUGUACACCAGGCUUCUCAGUGUCUCUCAGGGGCCAGUGGCUAUGACUUAAGACUCCCUCUCUGGACUUGGACUCUCUAGGUUUUUUGUGCCUGGCUCUGGGGAGACCUGCCCAGAGCUACUGGGUGUUUCUGGGCCUGGUGAUACUUGCCCCAUGCUUUUCCCAGUUUCUGCACUGUUGCUAUUUGAGCUCAGGGAGACUUCACUGGGGUACCUUGAUUUUGGUAGGUCACUGUUGGUCACUCCUGGGGAGACCAUCCCUGGGGUGUCUGUGACAGUCAUGUGGCUGCUGCAGCAUGGCCUGCGGUGUCUGGAUGGAAUCAGCCAUCUUCUUAAUCUUUCACAGAUACUUUCUCUGCCUGGGGUCCUGAGGCUGCAGCCUCUUGAAGUGGAGAAGCAGUUCAGCAUGCUCACGGUUGACCGUCUCCACCCAAGUGAGGCAUAUUGAGGCAUGUCUUGAGGGAAACAAGAUUCCUUUUGAGAUUCUGAGACCAAAACAGAAGUAAAAGAGAUCAUUCAGGCAUUGUCAAGAUAAUUUUAAUAUUAUUCUAUCAAAAGAUAAAGGGAC
ensembl:lncRNA